UCACACUGUGUGCAAGUCGCCCUCACCGUCGCUUUGAUUCAAAAAUGGUAUUACGGUAAGGCAUGGAAGCGACAUCGACAGUUUAAAAUAAAAGUUGAUAAGAUAUUUUUUUUUUUGUAUUUUGAAUUCUAAUUUCGACUCUUUCGGAAAAAUAAUCGGCCCUAUUACGGUUAUCGUCAGCGUCGCAAAAUUAAGUCGAGGCGACAAUAAUGAUAUUAGGGUUGUCGUUUUUUGUCGAUAGCGACAAAUGGUUGCCAUUAUCAUUGUCGAUACAAUAGUCGACGUGAAGUCGAUUUUUGAAAAUAUCUGUCGCCGUAAAAAAUUGUGACGACAUAGUCGGCCCUAUUACGGUUAUCGUCGGCGUCGCAAAAUGAAGUCGAGGCGACAAUAGUGAUAUUAGGGUUGUCGUUUUUUGUCGAUAGCGACAAAUGGUUGCCAUUAUCAUUGUCGAUACAACAGUCGACGUGAAGUCGAUUUUUUAGUACUUUUUAGUCGACGUUGAUAUUGUAAGCAUUUUGUAUUUUAUAUUUGUUUGACCACGAAAAUAACAACAGCAAAGCAAUUUGAAAUUUUGGUUUCCAUGUUUGGCAAAAGGAUUUACCAAAGGUCAUGUUCCAGCAAAUUUUCAUUCAGAUUGGGAAUCCAUUGCUACAAAAUUAAAUGUAAACGGGACUCCGAUUAGAGACCCCGAUGGCUGGCAAAAAGUUUGGAAAGAUUUAAAAUUUAAAACUAAAAAAAACUUGUGCACAACAAGGGUGAAACCAGCAGCAAUGGAUGUGGCAUUUUUAAGCAAAUGACUUUGGAGGAGUCUGUCGCGAAUAUAAUGCAGUUUCAAAAGUUAUUGAAUCCACCAGGUCGUGCACUUGGAAUAGAAAAUAAGGAAAACAUAAGUGUAAUAGACGUUAUAGUUCAUGAAAAUGAGCAAGUGGACAAUGCUGAUGACGAGACUGAUGUAACCUACUAUUGAAGCUUCUCGAUCAAAAAACAAUGGUAAAAAGUCUACAAGGAAAGUAUAAACUAUUGAACACUUUUGUAACAACACAAUCAAGGGCCAGGCAAUGCAAAUAUGUUUGUUGGCUGCCUUAACACUCGCCGCUGCACUACUAAUACAAUCUUCUCUUCAUCCUCACUUGAACUUAAGAUAUGUAACGUAUUUAUAAUCUUCAUUUUUUCACUAUAUUUUUUAUUUUUCCGAAAGAGCGAAUUUAGAAUUCAAAAUACCAAAAAAAUAUCUUUUUUGUCAAUAACAGGGGAGUGUUGCCAACGUUUUUUAUUUGUUGCCAACUUUUAUUUUAAACUGUCGAUGUCGCUUCUAUGCCUUGCCAUAAUACCAUUUUUGAAUCGAAGCGACGGCGAGGGCGACUCUCACAUAAAGUCGACGACGACCAUAGUAACGACAACCGUAAUUGGGCCGAGUAUUUUUUAGUCGACGUUGAUAUUGUAAGCAUUUUGUAUUUGAUAUUUGACCAUGAAAAUAACAACAGCAAAACAAUUUGAAAUUUUGGUUUCCGAAUUGGAAAAAAUCAAUGUUUGGUAAAAGGGUUUACCAAAGGUCAUGUUCCAGCUAAUUUGAAAUCUGAUUGGGAAUCUAUUGCUACAAAAUUAAAUGUAAACGGGCCUCCGAUUAGAGACUCCGAUGGCUGGCAAAAAGUUUGGAAAAUUUUAAAACUAAAAAGAAACUUGUGCACAACAAAGAUGAAACCAGCAGCACUGGAGGUGGCAUUUUUAAGCAAAUGACUUUGUCGCCAUUGGAUGAGUCUGUCGCUAAUAUAAUGCAGUUUCAAAAGUUACUGAACAGACCAGGUGGUGCACUUGGAAUAGAAAAUAAGGAAAACAUAAAGUUAAUAGACGUUAUAGUUCAUGAAAAUGAGUAAGUGGACAAUGCUGAAGACGAGACUGAUGUAACCUACUAUUGAAACUUCUCGAUCGCCCAGAAAAAACAAUGGUAAAAAGUCAUCAAAGAAAGUACAAACUAUUGAACUCUUGGAAGAGCGUUAUAAACUUUUGGAACAACACAAUCAAGAGCCAGGCAAUGCAAAUAUGUUUGUUGGUUGCCUUAACACUCGCCGCUGCACUACUAAUACAUUCUUCUUUUCAUCCUCACUUGAACUUAAGAUAUGUAACGCAUUUAUAAUCUUCAUUUUUUUCACUAUAUUUUUUAUUUUUCCGAAAGAGUCGAAAUUAGAAUUUAAAAUACAAAACAAAAUUAUUCCUUUUUUUGUCAAUAACAAGGGAGUGUUGCCAACGUUUUUUAAUUGUUGCCAACUUUUAUUUUAAACUGUCGAUGUCGCUUCUAUGCCUUACCAUAAUACCAUUUUUGAAUCGAAGCGACGGCGAGGGCGACUCGCACAUAAAGUCGACGACGACUAUAGUAACGACAACCGUAAUUGGGCCGAAUAGCAAUUAUUUGUCGCUAUCGACAAAAAACGUCAACCCUAAUAUCAUUAUUGUGACAAGACUUAUUUUUGUAUUGUAAAUCUGUUUGAAUAAAUCCGGAUUAAGCAACAAAUCCC